GAGGCUAAGGCAAGAGGAUCAUUUGAGCCCAGGUGUUUGAGACUAGCCUGAGCAACAUAGUGAGACCCUAUCUCAAAACAAACAAAAAUUCCAGAGCAUCUUUGGCUUCCUAGGAAAUAGCCUAAGGCUGUAAAUAAACCCUGGCCUCAUAUUCCUGUUGUCAUUUACUGGCGUAGUAGACAAUUCAUAACUGGGAAAAUCCUUUGGGUGUUUUUUUGAUGUAGGUUUUAUAGAAUCAGAGAGGUUCCAAAAUUGUGUUUAACUGAUUCUAUAGAAGACUAUAAAAGUAACAAAGCAGGCAAACAAGAACAAAAACCUUUGUGCCAUAAAAUCACUAUUUAGGCCAGGUGUGGUGGCUCAUGCCUGUAAUUCCAGCACUUUGAGAGAGGCCUAGGCGGGAGGAUUGCUUGAGCACAGGAGCUCAAGACCAGCCUGGGCAACAUAGUGGGACCCCGUCUGUACAAAAAAAAAU
rnacentral:lncRNA from 10 species